GGUGUCAAGGUUUUUGAUGAAACAGGAACUGAAGUGGAUGCAGAGGUCUUCUCUGACAUAGCGCAGCAGCCCAAUACUGGCAUACUAACCAUCAAGUUUGAUGACGAUUUCAAGGAAACUUUACCCAGCAGUUCCCAAGAAGCAAAUUCCAGUGCACUGUCUACUAGUAGUGGUGAUGACACAGUCAUUCUCGAAAUCGUGUCCUGCAACUCAGAUGACACAAUCAUACUGGAGGAGAGUGACAGUCCACCCAGAAAGCGACAGAGGGCAGAUGAAGAGGCCAAACGUGUGGUUGAAUUGGCGCUAAGGAGACCUGGGGGCGAC